CUCGUGUUUAGACCAACCAGCUCCUCAUCCAUGGAAGGAUUGAAGGAGUCACUGGGGAUGAAGAUCACUGCUCAGGGGCUGACGACCACUCAUCUUUCCGGAGAAGGCGGUCAAACCUCCACCUCUUUGAAGAGACCAAGCAGCUUGAUGACUGACUGGUUCCUUAUACUCAAGACCUCGUCCCGGAGCAGAGGACGGACCUAAGGCCCGCAGCGCAGCCGACUAGAGACUCCAUGUGGAACCGGUUCAAUUAAGUUGACCUCUCCCUCAGGCGACUUUAAGGGAGACCAGAUGUGCGGCAGCUGGGUGUCGCGGUGCAGAGACCCAACGCUGUACUGAACUACACCAGUGUGUCCUACUCCCAUAAACCCUGAGGAUCCCUGGAUGGCUACACCAGCACAUUUAUCCACACCCAACAUUAACACACAGUGCACACUCUAUAGAGCUUGUAAGUCCGCCCCUUGCGGCGGGACCUCGUGAGAUCGUAAGAUAUGACUGGGUUUCAAUGGAGAGAAAGUAAUUAUUUUCUCCAUUUUAUGUUGCACCACAUUUUGGGGGAAGAAUGUUUGAAUCAAUCUUUGUCAUUGAUUUCUGUACUCCAUAUCUGUAAUCCCAGCUGUUGUAUUUUAACACGGUAGCUGGCAACCCUCUUUAUAGGGAGCGACUAGAGGGACGAGGCUGGAACCAAACCUGAGCCUGGAUCUUAACCUUCUUUCUAAACUUAAUGCCGCAAAUAAAGUGAGGCCUAAAGUAACUUGACUCUCUUACCUAAACGUGCUUGCCUAAACUCGCUUGUCUAAACUCGCUUGCAUAAAACCUAAACUCGCUUGCAUAAAACCUGAACUUGCUUGGCGUUUCAGCAGCGUCCCGGGAGCGGCGUGCCGCGCCGCGGCGCUAUCUUUCCGUCCAAUUCUAUUUUUGCCGCGAGCCGCUGCUAAACCGCGUCAAUUUCGACAGAGCAGGUCGAGCCGGGAAGGAAGUGAAAAGUAAAAGCCAUAGAGCAUCCGGUCAAUUUUCUAAAUAAAACACAAUACUCAGCUCAUGUAACUUCACAUCAACAUUAUUACGUCAUGACCGGUGGGUCUCAGAGGGUCGGCAACAUUGACGAUGAGAGACUCAUUGUCGAAAUUCAGCAACAUGAAGUCAUUUAUGUACCAAAUCAUCCUUUUUAUAAGGAAAAUGUCAGAAAGGACAAAGCGUGGCAUUUAAUUGCAAUAGUUUUGGGAGUGGAAGGUGAGUACAUUAGGUUUAGGAUUAUCGCGUGAUCUCGUGUGAAUACUGGCUGGCUGGCUGGCUCGCAAGGCAGCGCUACGCUGCCGUUACGCGCCCGGUAGGAAUGGACACAGGGCAGAGGACGCAGCCGUUCCGCGGCGCAGCCGUUCCGCAGCGCGUACGCGUCCGGUGGGAUCCCGGUGUAAUACCUGAACUCGCUUGCCUAAACUCGCUUGCCUAAACUCGCUUGCCUAAACUCACUUGCAUAAAACCUAAACUUGCUUAGCUUGACUCGCUUGCCUGCACUCGCUUGGCUAAACUCGCUUGCAUAAAACCUAAACUCGCUUGCAUAAAACCUAAACUCGCUUAGCUUGACUCGCUUGCCUGUACUCGCUUGGCUAAACUCGCUUGCCUAAUACCUGAAGUCGCUUGCCUAAAACCUAAACUUGCUUGUCCAAACAUGUUACACAAAGUUAACCAUCCAUAAUCUUUAACCCAAACCAGACUUGUCCCUGGGUCGCUCCACUUUAAUUUAGAAGUUUCUUCUUUUACCUCAUCUGCGUUUUGAGUUUCAUUCUUUGAGGGCUUGAAGUGCUUUGGAGGAUAUUUGAACCUUUGUUUGCCGCAUCAAUAAACAUGUUUUAUCUUUACCCAUUUUGUUUUGGAUUGCAUUUCUAUGUGUAAUCCGGCCAAAUGUUCAGUGUCCUUACAUGUAAUGUCUAUGGUCUGACGAUAAUCUGACCUCUUCAUGAAGCAGAAUGUGUGUGAAUGUUGUCCCGUGAGCUCCAGGCUCUCUGUGGGCCUGUCAACGUCUCUUUAGCAAAAGGUUGGAGAGUGAUUUUCAUGUGUUCCUGAGUAUUUCAGACCUGUGGUGUUUCACAUGAGACCUUAAUGGGAACUUUUCUUUUUCUGCCUGCAUACGUAAUGCCUACAUUAGUAGGGUGAUCACUGUUGAUCCAAAUAUUGAUCAUUAACCACCUCAUUCUUUGGGAUUACAAAUCAUUUAAUUUAUGAGCAUAUUUGCAAAUGCCUCCAAAUAUCAGAUUGUGUAAAUACGAAUGAAAUGUAACCUGCUUGAUUUAAAGAAAAUAAAACAUCCAAAUAUUAUAAACCUGUUUUGUGUUGCUCUCUUACCAUGUGGAAAUGAGCAGAUAGAUAUGUUUAGCUCUGAUUUGCUGCCUCCUUUUGGUGUGGUGCUGGGAUUUGUUUAAUAUA